rnacentral:rRNA from 1 species
UACGUAGGGGGCUAGCGUUGUCCGGAAUCAUUGGGCGUAAAGCGCGCGUAGGCGGCCGGUAAGUCCGCUGUAAAAGUCAAAGGCUCAACCUUUGAAUGUCAGUGGAUACUGCCGGGCUAGAGUCCGGAAGAGGCGAGUGGGAACUCCUGGUGUAGCGGUGGAAUACGCAGAUAUCAGGAAGAACACCGACGGGCGAAGGCAGCUCGCUGGGACGGUACUGACGCUGGAGGCGACGGAAAGCCGUGGGGGAGCGAACAGG